GAGAGAACCAAGGAGGACUGAAGAUGCUGGACCACAGGAACGCUAGAACACACUGGAAUGCUGGAACAGAACACGAUGAUCACCAGAUUCGGACAAAAGAGGGAGUUCUCCCUUUCUCCUGGCCUAAAAGGAGCAGUUAGGAGAUACUGGUCUUGAUCCAACUGCACUGUUGCAGGGAUGAUGGAGGAGAAGGAACAGUCAGGAAAGAAGUAGAUGGAAACGAACGAAUGAAAAGAGAGAGAGCACAAGCUACAAGAUCUGCAAUCAUUAGAAAUGGAGUUACUGAGUUUGAUAAAAUAACUGGAACCUUCUUCUAAAACUCAGAAUAAAGCAAACCCACACUGUGGGUGAGGUUAAAAUAA